CUUGUCUGGAGCUCUGCCUGCAGGCUCUUAGCGUGGCAGCCCCGCUUCUGGCUGCCUCCUGCUCUCCCAUCCCCCCGCCUGCCUUUUGUUGGUUCUGAUGAAGAGCCCGCUGCUUGAGCUUUCUUUCCUGUGCUUUCCCCACAAUGGGUGUCCGGUACACUAACACGCCCAUGUUGAUAACCUCUUCUGGCCCGGCCAGGAGGCACCUCAAGCGUCUGCUUCUGAACUGACCCUCACACCUCCCAGGGACCAGACCAGGUCUGUGUAAUUUCCUUGCUUUGUUCCUCUGCGUGCUUCCUGAGCUGCGAACCUGCCUGCAACAAUCACUUUGAUUCCUGGAGAUGGCGUCCAGAGCUUGGGAUUCUCUGGGGAACUCCUGAGAUGAUGUCCUUCAAGCUGGAAGGGUGUGUGGCCUGAGACUUUUCAUUUUAGCAGUGUGGUUGAACCCACAGACGAUCAAAACAUAGCCAUUCAACAUGUAUUUAGUGAGUAGCUGCUAUUCUGGGAACUGGGUAUAAAGGAGUGAUACAGCAUUUAAAACUCUGGCUCUCCCGGGCUUGUAUUCUAGCAAGGGUAGAUGCACACCAAGCUAAAUGAACAGGGGAAGAGAAGGCCUCUCAAGACUUUUUAAUUUUUUUGGUUUUAGGGCCACACCCAUGGCAUAUGGAAGUUCCCAGGUCAAAUUAGAGCUGCAGCUGCCACCCUAUAACACAGCCACAGCAGUGCGGGAUCUGAGCUGUAUCUGUGAUCUACACCAUAGCUCACGGCAACGCUGGAUCCUUAGCGCACUGAGUGAGGCCAGGGAUAGAACCUGUGUUCUCAUGGACACUAGUAGGGUUCAUUACCGCUGAGCCACAAUGGGAACUCCAAGUCAGGGACAUUUAAGCAAAGGUCUAAAGGAGGUAAGAGAGAGAGCUGGGAGGUUUUCCCAGGUGGAGGAGACCGCCUGUGCAAAGGCCCUGAGGCGGGGGCUUGUCUGGGGUAUUAAAGAAAUCUGAGUGAGUGAGUAAGUGAGCGAGGGGAGGAAGAGCAGGGGAGCAGGUUGGAGAACUAUGGGAGCCUGAAUCUAACAGGGCCUUGUGAUCCUGUCUGGACUUUUACCUUGACUCUGAGUGAGAUGUGGUGCAACCCCAGAGUUUGACCAGAGAAGGGCCAGGAUCUGAAGGAUGGUUUCUGGCUGCUCUGUUGAGAAUAGACUGAAUGGGGUGAAGGGAAGCUGGUGGGGAGACAGAUGCAGUGGGUGGGUCUGGAAAGGAGAUCAUGUCGUGGCACAGUGGAAACGAAUCCAACUAGGAACCAUGAGGUUGCAGGUUCAAUCCCUGACCUUGCUCAGUGGGUUAAGGAUCCAGCGUUGCCAUGAUCUGUGAUGUAGGUCGAAGACGGGGCUUGGAUCCCACGUAGCUUUUUUUAUUUUUUUUAAGGGCCGAACCCGAGGCAUAUGGAAGUUCCCUGGCUAGGGGUCGAAUUGGAGCUGUGGCAUAAGCCUACGCCACAGCCACAACAGCACCAGAUCUGAGUUGCAUCUAAGACUUACACUGUAGCUCAUGGCAAUGCCGGAUCCUUAACCCACUGAGCAAGGCCAAGAAUUGAACCUGCAUCCUCACAGACACUAUGUUGGGUUCUACCUGCUGAGCCACAAUGAGAACUCCCCUGUUGUGUGGUCUUUUAUUUUUUUAUUAUUUUUUACUUUUUUUUAGUGAAGACUUUUAUAUUUAGAAUUAGCCAGCUGGACUCAGUUUUGAUGAUCCCAAUUUUGUUAGCAACAUCCAAAGCAUCAUAGUCAGGAGCCAGUUGAACAUAUGCCUUUUUCUCUCCAUCAGGCCUGAUCAGAGUGCUGACCUUAGCCACAUCAAUGUCAUAGAGCUUCUUCACAGCCUGUUUAAUCUGGUGCUUGUUGGCCUUGACAUCCACAGUGAACACAAAACAAGGUAGUUGUCUUCUGCCUUCUUGGCUGACUCAGUGGUGAGGGGAACUUGAUGAUGGCAUAGUGGUCAAGCUUGUUUCUCUUGGGGGUGCUCUUCCGAGGAUAUUUGGGCCGCCUCCUGAGCUGCAGUGUUUUGGGCCAUUGGAAGGUGGGUGACGUCUGGAUCUUCUUUUUUUUGUGGCUGUGGACGCAUUUCAACACUGCUUUCUUGGCCUUCAAAGCCUUUGCUUUGGCUUCGGCCUUGGGAAGGCCAGGGGCUUCCUUCUUCAUCUUUGGCGCCAUCUUUGUGAAAAGCCUAUUGCGUGGUCUUUUAAAAAGCAGGUUCUCAUGGACUUGGAAGGACCCAAGAAGUCAUCUAGUGCCACCUUUUCACUUAAGCUGUGGGGAAUCUGAGGCCCAGUAAAGGAAGUUACUUGUCCAGAAUCACACAGCAAGCCGGUCAGUGUCAGUGCCAAGACUUGGGCUUCUGGCUCCAAUACUGCAGUUUUUGUAGCUGAACCAAUGGAUGGUUUUUGGAGGAAACCUGCAGGGGUUUGAGGCCCCAGGGAAGAAUGGCUGGCCCCCGAUGCUGCAGCUGAGCAUGGGGUCUGGGCACACUCCAGGAGCCGGCAGAAAUCUGGGGUAUUGUAUGUUGACCAUUCUGGGUGCCCUGGGCCUUGAACGACUCUCUCUGGGUUUGUGUUUCGAUCUCAGGUGGGCAGAGGUCUUGGUGGUCAUGUUUGAGUGCUUGGGCUGAUCGGAGGCAAUGCUCCUGUGCAUGUUUUUGAAGAUUUUAUUGAGUGUCUACUAAGUGCCAGCCCAAAGAUAAGACGUCCUUGAGAAGUUCCCAUUGUGGGCUCAGUGGGUUAAGAAUCCAACUAGUAUCCGUGACGAUUGAUCCCUGGCCUCACUCAGUGGGCUAAGGAUCUGGCAUUGCAAUAAGCUGUGGUAUAGGUCGAAGACGUGGCUCGGAUCCUGUGUUGCUGUGGCUGUGGCGUAGGUUUGACCCCUGGCCUGGGAACUUCCAUAUGCUGCGGUGCGUCCCUAAAAAGCAAAAUAGAGAGAUAGACAGAUAGCAAAGACAUCCUUGCUCUCCAGGACCUAACAGCCUGGGGAGAUGGAGAGGUGAACCAGGAACGCCUCUGGUGAUGGUGGGUGAUCGGGCCCACAUGUGAGUUGCGUGCAAGAGCUGUCCACACUCAGGCUUUCUGUCUGAGGACGGAUGCUAAACAGCCACUGCAGCCACCAGAUACCCCAGGGAAUGCAGGCCUCUGUCUGUACCCCAAGGUGCUCUGUUUAAACUACGAGUCAUCACUUGUAAUAAAAGUUGACAAGGAGUGUCGGUGGGGGCUGGAAUCUUGCUGCCUAGAGCCAAGUCAGCAGGCACAGGCUUCAUUUAAACUGUGAGGACCCAGGUGUCCCCUACCCCGGGAGGCAACCUUUUCUUGUGGGGACUUCCUGUGUGCUUCUUUGUGAAGGGUGAUGAGCAGGUAACUUUUCUUAGACUGCCUGCCUGCUCUAAUGGCUGGCUUUAAGGUCACUGGUGGUCCUUGGAAUCCAGAAGGCCAUCGGAAGGUGAAGCUUGGAUCUGGGUGUCAUCCUCAGUUUCCUUGGUGCAUGGGUUAUCUGGGGAAGGUAAAGAGAGAUUUUGCUUUUCCUCUCUGUGGAGGCCAAAGAGGGAAAAUUCCAUUUGAUUUUUUUCUUUCAGCCUUUUAACUUUUCUGUCCCUAUCACAACAGAAGUACUGUACUGUUGAAGCCAAGUUGGAAUUCCUUCCAUGGAGCAACUUAUGGGCUGUCUCCAGAGCUGUUUUGGUUUUUUUGUUUGUUUGUUUUUUUCGUUUUGUUUUAUUUUUGGUCUUUUCUAGGGCCACACCCACAGCAUAUGGAGGUUCCCAGGCUAGGAGUUGAAUCAGAGCUGUAUCUGCCGUCCAGAAGCUGUUCUUGUGCCUUUGGGUCUGGUGAGCACCCUGAUGACCACAGGUGAGCCCAGGACAGGGCUGAUAACAGUGCGGUGCUCAGAGGUGGGAGAUCCCUGGCCUGACAGCUGAAGUGAGGCUUGAGUCUGUCAGGCCAGCCCCUGUCCUUUCUUUGGCAUCUUCCUUGGAGGCUAGAGGAGGUAGGGGGACGGCAGAAAACAAAACCAAAAAAACCUGGGCAGGAAGUUCCCUGGUAGCCUAGCAGUUAAUGGAUCCGGCAUUGUCACUGCUGUGGUGUAGGUUUGAUCCCUGGCCCAGGAACUUCCACAAGCCAUGGGUGUGGCAAACAAACAAACAAACCACCGACAGGUGCACCCAUUCUCCAGGACAGCUGAGGUCAGGUGCUAAUGCACGUUGGUGGUGCAUUUCAGGAUUCACAUCUCUUGGCAUCAGUGUCCCUGAGAAAAGUGAGUCCAUUGGCUUGUCUGCCCAGUAUGCUUUCCAGGAGACAGGCUCCCAGGUAGAAGGAGCUGCCUUAAGUCCAGAGAUUAUUUUUCUAAUGGGUGCUCAUUAUUUUUCUAAUGUGUGACUGAGCGGUGCUGUGUGCUGGAGGUAGAAAUCAGAGCUGCACUUUGAGGGGCUUGGGAGGAGGGCCAUGCCUCCCCCUUUCCCUCCAUGUCUUCCAUCCAGUUCUCGUUCAAGUUAUAAACACCCUUGGAAAGUGUGUCGUACGCCCUCCCUGGUACCUUCCUGUGAAUAAGCUUAUUCAGUGGACCCGAGAAGUGGGCCACGCGGGCAAGGACCAGAUGAGGUGACGGUGGGGAGCUGGCCUCCCAGUAGAAGGACUCCGCCAGCGUCACACAUUGCCCCAGGGCUAGCCUCGUCCCUGUGACGCGUGCACUCUACUCCCAUCGCAAGGGACAUCUGAGGUCAUGGGCCUGUUUUCUUGAACCAUGAAAGCAUCUUGCAAAGAUGACCUAGAUUUGAAAAGAAUGUGACCAGAGGGGAGAAGUGGUGUGGGGCGCCCUGCCUGGUGCCUGGCGCUUAAUAGGUGCUCCUUAUAUCAGGGCUCCUUUCCUAACGUGAGUGAACCCUACCCGUCAGAGUCAGCUGAGGCUCCCGGGUCUGCCCUGCUGUGGGACAGGCACCAUGCACCUGACUGGCAGAGCUCUCCGUGUCUGUGUGGGGAGCAGGGCCUGGGGGAGAAUGGCUCCUUCCAUCUGUGGAGGACUGCGCACUCGGAGUUAGGGCAGCACAGUGCCAAGGAGGGUGCUGGAGGACAGACAGCCUCAGCCUGUCUUCCAUAAGUGUGUACCAUGUCCUGAGUCUCACGUGUGACAUAGGAGGUAGGGGACAGGACCAGCUUGCAGAAGAAUGGAAAGCCAGCGGAAUGCCAGGUGUGGCGACCCAGAUGCCCAGGCUGCCCCUCCCGCAGGCAGAAGGGACUCCCUUGCCCUGGCUCCCCGAGCAGCUGGGCUUACACACCUCUGGUUUUGCGUAGUUUCUUUUUAAACUCAAUGCAGAUAUAAUUCCCAUAGCAUAUAGUUCAUCCAUUUUAAAGUAUACAAUCCCAGAGUUCCCUUGUGGCACAGCAGUUAACAGAUCCGGCAUUGUCUCUAAUGUGGCAUAGGUUCAAUCCCUGGCCCAGGAAUUUCUGUGUGCCAUGGGCA
rnacentral:lncRNA from 1 species